rnacentral:misc_RNA from 1 species
UACGUGGGGCGCAAGCGUUGCUCGGAUUUACUGGGCGUAAAGGGCGUCUAGGCGGCCUUUCAAGUCGCGUGUGAAAUUUCUACGGCUCAACCGAGAAACUGCACGCGAUACUGUUUGGCUUGAAUACGGUAGAGGGAAGCGGAAUUCAGAGUGUAUCGGUGAUAUGAGCAGAUAUUCUGGAGAACACCGAUGGCGUAGGCAGCUUCCUGGGCCUGUAUUGACGCUGAAGCGCGAAAGCUAGGGGAGCAAACAGG